UACGGAGGGUGCAAGCGUUAUUCGGAAUUACUGGGCGUAAAGCGCGUGUAGGCGGGGAUACAAGUCUGAUGUGAAAGCCCUGGGCUUAACCUGGGAAGUGCAUUGGAAACUGUAUUUCUUGAGUACUGGAGAGGAAGGGGGAAUUCCCGGUGUAGAGGUGAAAUUCGUAGAGAUCGGGAGGAAUACCAGUGGCGUAGGCGCCUUUCUGGACGGUUACUGACGCUGAGACGCGAAAGCGUGGGGAGCAAACAGG
rnacentral:rRNA from 1 species